GGUGAACGCUGGCGGUAUGCCUAACACAUGCAAGUCGAACGGCAGGACAGUUAUAGCGUGCCGUAACGGGUGGCGAGUCGCGGAAGGGUGAGCUAUGCAUCGGAAUCUAAUCUUUCGAGGGGGAUAACGUAGGGAAACUUACGCUAGUAAAGGAUACGAUCUGCCGGUGAAAGCAGGGGAGCUUCGGAACUUGCGUGAUUGGAUGAGACGAUGUCGGAUUAGCUAGGGGGCGGGGUAACGACCCACCAAGGAGACGAUCCGUAGCUGAUCCGAGAGGAGGAUCGUCGACACUGGAACUGAGACACGGUCCAGACUCCUACGGGAGGCCGCAGUGGGCAACAUUGGACGAUGGGCGCAAGCCUGAUCCCGCCAUACCGCGUGGGUUAAGAAGGCCUUCCGGUUGUGAAGCCCUUGUGUUGGGAAAGAAGAGCAGCGGGUUAAUACCACGCUGUUCUGACGGUACCCAAAGAAUAAGCACCGGCUAACUUCGUG
rnacentral:rRNA from 1 species